ACUCUAUCCCUCACUAAGUCAGGGCCAGGCUGCCUGCAUUCAGAAGUCUGCAGAGAGCAGGAAGGAAACAGCUGGAAGUUAGGAUGUAGAGAGCUGUCCUGCAAGUAGAAGUCUCCGAAGUAAUAACACAUGCUGUUGGUCCUCAGCACUGUAAUUCAUCUGUGAAGGCCAGGAAACUGUCAGUAAAAGAGUCUGAAACAGAUUUGAAAGUGAAUCUGACAACCAAGUCUCCCCAGACACAGCUUUCCAAGCCUGGGACACCAGACGCAUCAGCCUGAAUCACACUGCCUCCAGCCCUCUGAGCAUUUCCUGCUUCUGAGAGAGAGCAGCUACAUUCUGACAGCUUCAAUGGGAGGUGUCAGCCUAUUUCCAGAGCUUUCUAAAGACAUUCUGUCAUUCUGUGAAUGAUAUCAUUGUGUGGAACCUCUGAGAUAAUGAGACUAUGAACAUCAUCCCACAGUACCAUUUGGCUCAAAGACAGAGAAACAUAUGGGCAUUCCCUCUACACAGAUUUUGCAGGGGAAUAUACGGAAAAUCCUGCUGUCUGCAAAAGACGUUUCUUAGCCUCAUUUACAGCAGCUUGGAUGCUCUUAACAGUGGACAAGUUGGAAAUGGUUGGCAACAGACAGCACGUCAACACAGAGUUUUGUUCCUCUUUAUGCUUUUUCAUAGAAGUUUGGAGGAGGUAAGCAGUCACCACAGGAUGUGAGACUUGCUAAAGCAUACUAAGGACAUUACACUAAAAUAGCUACAAUUAAAUCAUAUAUUAAAAGACAAAUUUUUCACCUUAUUUCCACAUUGAAUGAGUCUACUGAAUCACCCAAGUCUGGAUUUUAGAUUAUGCAGAUAGGAUGACUCACUUACAGCUUACCACUCUGCAACACGAUAAUCAUUGGGAUGAAAUUGUUCCGCAAUAAAAAAAUUAAGCUCCCGAGUCCUGGAGAUUGGCCUGGCCAUUUAGAAUCCAAAAUGUCAUUGAAAAUUCUUUAUACUCAACCAUUUAUUUUGCAAAACAGCAGUUUGGACCUAGCAGGGAUUCUGCCAAAAUUCUCACACUGAAGUUCAACUACUACUUUGCAUCACUCUUCAAAAUAGCAGUUCUGAGUUGUACUAUGAAACAGGUUUUACAUUUACACACUUAUCAAAAGACUUCAUUUAGUAGCUACUAUUUGAUUUAGUUCAGCUACUGCCCUUGAAGCUCAGUCACACCUCCUCAUAAAAAGUACACAGGGAAAACAACAAAACCCAAACCCCACUAAGUUCCCCCAAGGAAGGAUGUCUAGCUCUCUGAAGAAAAAAGUGAAGGUAAUAUGAAAGAGUAAACCAUUUUAUACCUCACCACAGGAUUGCACUACAUAUGGCAUAUAUUAAAAUUCUCAGAGCUUAUGUACCAUAUGUCACAUGAGAGCAGUAAAUUACCUUAAUUGGCUCAAGUGUGAAUUUUGAAGAAUGGCUUUUUCUUUUUCUUUCUUUUUUUUUUUUCAGUAGGUGCUUAAAUGUAAUAGAGAAUUUAUUUUCCACUUAAAAAGGCCAUAUGCUCUAAGGCAAAUUCCUUAAAUAAAGAGAUAAUG
rnacentral:lncRNA from 7 species